rnacentral:rRNA from 1 species
UAGAUACCCUAUUAUUCAAGAUGUAGACCCAUCUAAGGUAGUAGUUGUUAUACUCUUAAAACCUAAAGAAUUUGGCGGUGUCAAAUUAAAUCAGAGGAACCUGUUUAUUAAGCGAUAACCCACGAUAAAUCUUUCUUUUUAUAUAGGUUUGUAUACCAUCAUCUAUAGUAAAUUCCCUAGAAAAAUACUCAUUUGUAGGAACAAUUAAGUUAGAUCAAGGUGCAGCAUUAAAAAGCAAUUAAUGGGUUACAAUUAAACUCAGAUUGAAAAUUUCACUCAAAAAGGUGAAAAUAAAAUGGAUUUGAAAGUAAUUUUAGUUUAACAAGCUAAAAUGAGUAAUUCUAGGCAUGUACACAUCGCC